rnacentral:lncRNA from 1 species
UACUUCCUAGCUGUCUUGGCGAGUAUUUGUUUACAGGCGGCCAUGUUGGAUGUUUUUAAGCUUAUCCUUCUUUGAAAGGCUGGAUAGACCAUUUUACGAAAAAUUUACGCACCUUGCAAAGUUUGUUUUCGUGCACAGAAAGAUAUAUCAUGCAAAAUGGAAAUCACAUGGAUCAAAGUUGUGACAAGCAGCAGUGUUUGGAGCAGUCUUUCAGGUUUCACCAGCUAUGCUCUACUCCAAGGAAGUUAAAACAAGACCGAACAUACAAGUUUGCCGACAGUCAGUGAGAGGAAAAAAUGGACGAAUGCCCAAAGAUUGAAGUGAUGUGAAAGCCAAAUGUCGUUGCUCCUCAAUUUACUUGAGCCCUGAUUUACCAGAAGCAAGUGGUGUUGCAAAAUGACCAAUGUUUCUUCGACCACUUAAAGCACGAUACCAAGAAACACGAUCACCUUAAGCCUGGGCUAGAGAAAAGUAUAAAUUUUGGGAAGAAAGCAAAAUUGGAUCGACCCCCAAAUCAGAGAAUAAAAAAAAUGGGGUUCGAUUCUUUGACCAUUUCCCCUCUACCCACCUGCCUCUCUGAGGCAUUUUCUAAAAGUUAAAUACCUUAGAGGGAAACCAAAAACGGUUAACCUUUCAUCAUGCCCUACUACACCCGACCUUUUCUGUCUACCUUUUGAUACAAAUGUCCUUUGAUAUGAUCAACUCAUAUUACAGUACAGUGAUAUUACAAUACAAUCUUCUAAUAUAUUACACUAUAUAUUAUAAUACUAUAUAUUACUUCCUGAUUACAAUCUUUUAAUACAGUUGUUAAUACAGUGUUUUUUUUUCAUCCAUCCAACCUCCCCCACCGCACCCACCUCUCACAGGCAGUUUUAUAAAGUACUUGCAAAAGUUGUCUACUUUGUGGUGUUAAUAUUUAUUUCAAACGCAUGCGUUUGUGUAACCAAACGUCUGUCUUAAUACACAUGCGUAUUACGAAGAUUUCGUUACCACUAUACAAAACUAUUUUUAUUAGGACUGAAAAAAAACUCGUUAUUGGAGCUGGUGUGGUGGUGGGUUGUAAGACCUCCAAUUUAAGCCUUCUUGUCGAGGAUGAUCUUGGUUUUUGAGAUGGCCAUUAUUUCAUGAAACCUGUGAAGAGAUGGAGAAUAAAUUCGAAUAAGACAAAAUGUAA